CCCGUAACGAGCGCAACCCUUGUCCUUAGUUACCAGCACGUUAUGGUGGGCACUCUAAGGAGACUGCCGGUGACAAACCGGAGGAAGGUGGGGAUGACGUCAAGUCAUCAUGGCCCUUACGGCCUGGGCUACACACGUGCUACAAUGGUCGGUACAGAGGGUUGCCAAGCCGCGAGGUGGAGCUAAUCCCAUAAAACCGAUCGUAGUCCGGAUCGCAGUCUGCAACUCGACUGCGUGAAGUCGGAAUCGCUAGUAAUCGCGAAUCAGAA
rnacentral:rRNA from 1 species